rnacentral:sRNA from 1 species
UCAACUUGGUGGUGUUCAGAGACUCUCAAU